rnacentral:misc_RNA from 1 species
GAUGAAGAACGCAGCGAAAUGCGAUAAGUAGUGUGAAUUGCAGAAUUCAGUGAAUCAUCGAAUCUUUGAACGCACAUUGCGCCCCUUGGUAUUCCAUGGGGCAUGCCUGUUCGAGCGUCAUUUGUACCCUCAAGCUCUGCUUGGUGUUGGGUGUUUGUCUUGUGCUUUUGUACAGACUCGCCUUAAAACAAUUGGCAGCCGGCACGUUAGCCUGGAGCGCAGCACAUUUUGCGCCUCUUGCUAGCUUUGUUGGCCCACAUCAAGACUCUAUAUUUGCUCUUGACCUCGGAUCAGGUAGGGAUACCCGCUGAACUUAAGCAUAUCAAUAAGCGGAGGA